CCCCUCGUCUUCCACGCGAGGCAUCUCCUUGGCCGCCAUAUCCGGCGCCAUCCACCACGAGGCCGCUCCGUCCUGGCCGUCUCAUCUCGCCGGAAAAAGGCCGCACCCGCCACAGCCGGUCAAUGAUUUUAUUCACAUCCCAUGGAGACGAAAACCAAAUUCAUCAUGGUGUAAUUGUGAUGAUCCAAAUGAGUACUUCAGGAUAUGAGGGGUAUAGCUCAGGACCACGUCCCUAGCAGCCACCACGCUGCUGAUGUCAUUGGAGAGGUCGCCGUUGUAGUUGUGCUGCUUGGCCAUGGACAACCUCAAGCACGAGGUGACCAGGAUGGACACACUCGCGCACAUCACCUUCAAGUAUGGAGUUGAGAUAAUUCUAAUCCCUACACCCAUGAUGUUGUUGUCUGGUUGCUGCAUCAUUUUAUUGCUCAAUGCAAGGAACUAUGUAUGGAAUACCAAUUGUUCAGUCCAGCUGUCAGAAAUUAUGAUAUGGAGUGUCUCUUAA